rnacentral:lncRNA from 1 species
GUAGAUCGCGGCGGUGAACUCCUUACAGUGGGAGAAUCCAAUGGUGUGGGCCCCGGUGAGGGCCACCAUUUCUUGAGCGGAGAAGCCUCUGGAUCCGAAGAGCUCGAUGAGCUGGGAGAUGGUCAUGGUGGGCAAGGGGAGGGUUCCGUCGACGGCGGCGGCGUGUGAGGAUUUCCCGUCGCGGCGGCCGAGGGGGACGUUGUAGUAAGGGCCACCCAUCAUGGUGACGAGGUCGCGGGCGGCGACGGCGAGGAUGUCGGCGCAGGAGACGGUGCCGGGGCAGGCGAGCUCGACGGCGGUCUUGGCGCGGACGACGACGUCGAAGGCGUCGCCGGGGAGGGAGAGGUUGAUGUCGGCGUCGCGCUCGGCUUUGUUGAAAUGGGUGGAGGAGAUUAGGACGGAGGCGUCGCAGCCGUUGUGGAGGCAGUCGUGGAAGAAGAGGCGGAGGGUGGCGGCGGCGGUGGUGGGGGUGGAGAUCUGUUUGUUGGUGACAAUGUCCUGAACAAUCUGCGUGAAUCUCGG